UACGUAGGGUGCAAGCGUUGUCCGGAAUCAUUGGGCGUAAAGAGCUCGUAGGCGGCUUGUCACGUCGGCUGUGAAAACCCGGGGCUCAACCCCGGGCCUGCAGUCGAUACGGGCAAGCUAGAGUGUUGCAGGGGAGACUGGAAUUCCUGGUGUAGCGGUGAGAUGCGCAGAUAUCAGGAGGAACACCGGUGGCGAAGGCGGGUCGCUGGGCAACAACUGACGCUGAGGAGCGAAAGCGUGGGGAGCGAACAGG
rnacentral:rRNA from 1 species